AUGGCUUUUAAGGUGGAAAAACACCUGUGGAGCUGGAGGUGGCAAUUCACCCAAUUUGAAUCACUCUAACAAGCCGCAAUGUAAAAUCCCUCGAAAAGGUGUGUGCUGACUUGGUCAGAGGAGCACAGGAAAAGAAUCUCAAAGUGAAAGGACCAGUUGGAAUGCCUAGCAAGACUUUGAGAAUCACUACAAGAAAAACUCCUUGUGGUGAAGGUUCUACGACAUGGGAUGGUUUCCAGAUGGGAAUCCACAAGCGACUCAUUGACUUGCACAGUCCUUCUGAGAUUGUUAGGCAGAUGACUUCCAUCAGUAAUGAGCCAGGAGUUGAGGUGGAAGUCACCAUUGCAGUUGCUUAA
rnacentral:lncRNA from 1 species